AUUGAACGCUGGCGGUAGGCCUAACACAUGCAAGUCGAACGCGAAAGUCCUUCGGGAUGAGUAGAGUGGCGGACGGGUGAGUAACGCGUAGGAAUCUAUCCUGUAGUGGGGGAUAACGUUUCGAAAGGAACGCUAAUACCGCAUACGCCCCAAGGGGGACCGCAAGGCCUGGCACUGAUAGAUGAGCCCAAGCCGGAUUAGCUAGUUGGCGGGGUAACGGCCCACCAAGGCGACGAUCCGUAGCUGGUCUGAGAGGACGAUCAGCCACACUGGGACUGAGACACGGCCCAGACUCCUACGGGAGGCAGCAGUGGGGAAUAUUGGACAAUGGGGGAAACCCUGAUCCAGCGACGCCGCGUGGGUGAAGAAGGCCUGCGGGUUGUAAAGCCCUUUCGGUAGGGACGAAAGCUCUCGACCUAACACGUCGGGAGGUUGACUUAACCUACAGAAGAAGCACCGGCUAACUCUGUGCCAGCAGCCGCAGUAACAC
rnacentral:rRNA from 1 species